GUAAUAUAUCGGAACGUGCCCAGUCGUGGGGGAUAACGUAGCGAAAGUUACGCUAAUACCGCAUACGAUCUAAGGAUGAAAGCGGGGGACCGUAAGGCCUCGCGCGAUUGGAGCGGCCGAUAUCAGAUUAGGUAGUUGGUGGGGUAAAGGCUCACCAAGCCAACGAUCUGUAGCUGGUCUGAGAGGACGACCAGCCACACUGGAACUGAGACACGGUCCAGACUCCUACGGGAGGCAGCAGUGGGGAAUUUUGGACAAUGGACGCAAGUCUGAUCCAGCCAUUCCGCGUGCAGGAUGAAGGCCCUCGGGUUGUAAACUGCUUUUGUACGGAACGAAAAGGUCUCUAUUAAUACUGGGGGCUCAUGACGGUACCGUAAGAAUAAGCACCGGCUAACUACGUGCCAGCAGCCGCGGUAAUACGUAGGGUGCAAGCGUUAAUCGGAAUUACUGGGCGUAAAGCGUGCGCAGGCGGUUAUGUAAGACAGAGGUGAAAUCCCCGGGCUCAACCUGGGAACUGCCUUUGUGACUGCAUAGCUAGAGUACGGUAGAGGGGGAUGGAAUUCCGCGUGUAGCAGUGAAAUGCGUAGAUAUGCGGAGGAACACCGAUGGCGAAGGCAAUCCCCUGGACCUGUACUGACGCUCAUGCA
rnacentral:rRNA from 1 species